GAUCAGAAUCAAUGGGUCCAACGUAAUAAAGUGCACAUCUAUGAUGAUAAUAAUAAAGGACUUCUGAAGGUUUUUAUCAGUGAUUUAACUGAAGGUGAUGAAGGAACGUACAGAUGUGGAGUGAAUACUGAUAAAGAUCAUCUGUUCACUGAGAUCAAACUGAAGAUCAGUACAGCUGAUGAUUUUCCUGCAUCAAGCACAUCAGCUGUUUUUGGUGAAAGUGUGAAGCUCACCUGUAAUUCUCCUGAGAAAAACAAGACCUUCAAACACAUCUGUAAAGAGAACGAGGAGAAGAUCUGUGAGAAGAUCAGUUCAUCAGAGUUUUCUGAAAGUACAGCAGGAGUUUUCACAGCGAUCUUCAGUAAUGUGAGGCUGAGAGAUGCUGGAGUUUACUGGUGUGGAGAAGAAACCAGAAACAAACAUCUGACUUCUGUUUCUCUCACCAAUAAACAUGAGCUGACUUUAUCCAUUCCUCCAGUCAUCAGACGAGAAGGAGAUUCAGUCGACAUCAAAUGUCCUUAUGAUAAAAAUAUUCAAAAAAAACAAAGCAUCUGUCCAAAGGAAAAUGUUUCAAGAAAGAUGCUCAAAAUAUAAUUCGAUCAGAUGAAGCCCAUGUUAAAAAGCCAAAUAUUUCAGUGAAGGACGACACUGAGCUCUUCACUGUGACCAUGACUGAGCUGAGAGCAGAGGAUGCUGGGAAAUACUGGUGUUCAGUGAAAGACGAGCUUCUUCUUCCUGUUGAGCUCAUGAUCA